AUUGAACGCUGGCGGCAGGCCUAACACAUGCAAGUCGAACGGUAACAGGAAGCAGCUUGCUGCUUCGCUGACGAGUGGCGGACGGGUGAGUAAUGUCUGGGAAGCUGCCUGAUGGAGGGGGAUAACUACUGGAAACGGUAGCUAAUACCGCAUAAUGUCGCAAGACCAAAGAGGGGGACCUUCGGGCCUCUUGCCAUCGGAUGUGCCCAGAUGGGAUUAGCUUGUUGGUGGGGUAACGGCUCACCAAGGCGACGAUCCCUAGCUGGUCUGAGAGGAUGACCAGCCACACUGGGACUGAGACAAGGUCCAGACUCCUACGGGAGGCAGCAGUGGGGAAUAUUGCACAAUGGGCGCAAGCCUGAUGCAGCCAUGCCGCGUGUAUGAAGAAGGCCUUCGGGUUGUAAAGUACUUUCAGCGGGGAGGAAGGGAGUAAAGUUAAUACCUUUGCUCAUUGACGUUACCCGCAGAAGAAGCACCGGCUAACUCCGUG
rnacentral:rRNA from 1 species